rnacentral:miRNA from 1 species
CAACAGUUCUUCAACUGGCAGCUUUAGCUACUAGACAGGGACUUAAAGCUUGCCACUGAAGAAC